AUGGCUGAGUCCAAGUCACUCGAAGAGCUGAAAAUAGAGCGAACCACUGCAAAGAGACUGUUUUCCAGACUCACCAACCAUAUAAGAAGGACCCACAUGGAUAUGUCUGUAGAGGAGCUACAGGAUUCCUUCAAGAGACUCACAGCAGAGGGCUCCAAAGUAAUUGACGUGAAUGAGGAGCUUGAGGCCGCCUACAUCACGCAGUGUGAAGCAGAGGGCACACCGGAGCUGAUGGGCCAACAGAGAGCAGACGUCGAGAAAACGGAGAAAGAAUGUGAGCAGAAGUUGAAGGAGGCAAAGCACAUGAUCAGAGAGACCCUGUGGACAUCAUAUGGUGAAAGAGAACUGACCCUUGCUCUAAAAUCAGCAGAAAUGGAGUGUGAGAACAUCUCAUCCACUCAGCCUGAUACGCCCCUGGAGGUAUAUGAUUUUAUGCUCCACCACCUAGAAGAACUAGUGAAGAAAGCUAAGCAGGCACACCAGACAUGGAACCGCUGGGCUCCACCUGCUGAGAGGCGGGAUUGUGAUCGUCGACUAAUGGAGCUCGAAACCUGCCUUCCAAAGCUGGUGUCAGGGAAGGCAGCCCUGAUCAAAGCAGAGAGGAUUAAAAGAGAUGCCGACCAAGCAGUUGUCACAGUCCGCAACGCAGCCCCGGUCACAGGCAUAAAACUGAAAGCCACAGCUUUACCAAAGUUCACCGGCAGCCAGCGUGAGUUCUACAGAUGGCGGAAGGAAUGGGAGGCUCUGCAAAAGCAAGGUGAACCAACCGGGUCCAUGGAAGUUAAGAAAUUCCAACUUCUCGAUAGCCUCGAUGAGAAAGUGGCCAAAGAUCUGCGCCUGUCCACAUACACCUCGGCAGAUGAGAUCUUCAGAGUCCUUGAGAACCGCUAUGGAAAUCAAGCCACCAUCGCCAUUGAAAUCAUUGAGGAGCUUCAAGCUAUCCCUCCUGUCCGUAGCAACCAGCCUAGAAGAAUAAUAGAGCUUAUCCACGCAGUUGAAAAGGCCCUCUAUGAUUUGAAUGAGCUGGAUAAAGCAAAUGCCAUAAAGAACCUAUUAGUAAUAAAGUCUAUUGAAAGCAAGCUGCCUGAGUCCCUAAAGAAAGACUGGCUUACCCACGCUGCUGAUCCAAAAAAUGCUGUGACUCAUCAGAACCGGUUUGACAAGCUGCUCGCCUACCUCCAAUCUCAAGAGUCCAUCUACGAGCAGUUAGACCAGCUGAGAGACAUCGACCCUGCCAAGGAGAGAACAAAGUUCCCAACAAAGUACGCCCGUACCAAGUCAGUCAAAUCCAGUACUGAUCCAGCAGGCUGCAUCAUCUGUGGGGACCCGAAGCACAAGAGGAAGCUCUACAUCUGCAGACGGUUUAGAACCAACACAAAGUUACAGGAGAAAAAGGAUGCAGUGCAGCAACUUGGAGCCUGCGAGAGGUGUCUCGAGAUCCACGACGAACCCUGCAGAAAGACUACUUACCUGUGUGGAAAGCCAGAGUGCAAAGACCAGCAUCAUUACCUUCUUUGUCCCCUGCCACGACCCUUAUCACAAAGGCCCAAGUCUGGUCCAGUGAGAGCUGAGGGGAGGAGGUACACAGAGGUUCAAGAAGAGUUCAUCUCUAAACUAUCGCCAGAGCUAGCGCAGCAGUGUCGGAAAGCUUUCUGCAACGUCGCAUCACGAGCCUUCAACUCCAUGGCAGCGGAGAAAGGUCUACUGGAGGAGACUGGUCUAAAAGAGUACCCUGUGAUCCUGAUGCUCCUUGACGUCAUCGCCAGUGAUGGGCAGAGAAUUGGGACACUAAUUGAUCUAGCAUCUGACACAAACUACAUAACCCACAAAGCUGCAAGUAAGCUCAACCUUCGCAGUGAAGACGUCAUGCUUGUCAUCCAGGGUGUCGGAGGUAUGAAGGUAUCUGUGGCAACCAAGCGCUACCUUCUCAAGAUCCGUGUCAACACCUCAAGAGGAACUUUAAAGCCUCACCAGUUAGUCUGCUAUGGUCUUGACAAAAUUGCUGAAGUGGAAAGACAUGUUCCACAUCAGAAGCUACAGAAGAUCUUCCCUGACGUCCCUCUCCAAGACCUCAUCAGACCCAGAGAGAUCCAGCUUCUAAUCAGCCAUAAAGAAGGCCAGCUGGUGCCCCAAAAGAUCCGCUCCAUCGGUGACCUGGUGCUCUGGGAUGGUCCACUUGGCAAGACAAUCGGGGGCACGCAUCCAGACCUCUUUGAGGAAGUCACCUUGAUGGCCCACGCCUCCAAGACGCACUUCGCAAGAUCAAUGAGAGCUGCUGCAUUCAAGUACCAAGAGUUCACUAAAGACCUAGCUUCCUGUCAGCGUCCUGAUCACCCUGAGACUCUAUCCACCACAGCUACCAGCAGCAGAGACUUUCUGAAGUGGUGGAGGUGGGAAAGCAUCGGUGCCGCUUGCCAGCCGAGAUGUGGAGGGUGUCGUUGUGGGAACUGCCAGCCAGGGGGUAAAGAAAUGACGCUCGCAGAAGAGAGGGAGAUGGAGAUCGUGAGAAAUGGCCUGAAUUAUUCAACUGGAGAUGACCACAGCAGUGAACCGCAUUGGCAUGCCAAGUACCCAUGGGUAGAAGAUCCAGCAACCUUGCCAAAUAACAGGAAAGCAGUAGAAGGAACAUUCAUCAGAACCGAGAUGAAGCUAUCGAAAGAACCUGAGUGGAGGACAGCCUAUGCUGCACAAGUUCAUGAGAUGGUAAACCGCAGAGCUGCAGUGAAGCUGUCCAAAGAAGUCCUGCAGAGUUGGACUGGGCCACUAUGGUAUAUAAGCCACCUCAUUGCGCCAAAUCCACACUCGGUCUCUACCCCAGUGAGGUUGGUGUGGAACAGCAGCCAGAAGUACAGAGGCCUCAGCCUGAAUGACAUCCUCAUCAAAGGUCCUGAUGUCCUGAACCCGAUAAGAGCUGUCCUGCUGAGGUUCCGAGCUGGUGUCUACGCCGCCCUUGGUGACAUCCGCAAGAUGUACAACUCCGUCUGGCUGGAAGAUCGAGAAGUCCACUUGCACAGAUUCUUGUGGCGUGACACAGAAGAUGCAGGCAUAGAAGACUAUGCCAUAACGAGAGUCAACAUUGGAGACAAACCUGCUGGUUGCAUAGCCCAAGUCGCCAUGAGAGAAACUGCAAACCUACCUUCAUUCAGUCACUUCAAAGAAGAGAAGCGUGUGCUGGAAGAAGAUGCUUAUGUCGAUGACAUCCUGACAUCACACAAUGACCUCGACCAUCUGAGACGCCUAACAGCCAACAUCGAGCACAUCCUGAGAGCUGGAGGAUUCUACAUGAAGCCUUGGGUCUACUCCAGUCAAAGUGGGAGGGAGGAGGCAAAGAGAGAGUUGCCUCGAUCAGAGGCAAAGACCAUAAUCCUGCCAAACCAGCUGACGGAAGAUGACAACAAAGCCCUUGGCCUUGGCUACACCAUCAAUGAUGACAAACUUCAUGUCAUGGUUGCAGUGAACUUUUCAAAGAAAAGGAGGAAAAUGCGCCUUGGUCAAGACCUGCUCAGAGAAGAAGUCAGAGAGCGAACACCUGAUCCACUAACCAGGCGAGAACUGCUAAGCCAAGUCUCCGGCCUAUAUGACCCACUCGGUCUUGUGACUCCUGUCAAACAGAAGGGUGCCAUCCUGGUAAGGAGAGCUUUCCAAGAAGCAAAAGUAAAGUACCGCCUCGAAGACACAUGGGACGCAGCCUUGUCUGAAGGUCUCCGAGAAGAUGCCAUAAAGCUUCUGGAAGAGUAUGCUGACCUGAAGAAACUGCAUUUCACUAGAGCCCUGACUCCACCAGAUCCCUGUGCAGAGCCCAGUGCCAUCACGUUCUCUGAUGGCAGUGAACACGCAUAUGGCGCAGUGAUGUACCUUCGCUGGAGUUGCAGCCAUAGUGUCAUCGUGAGACUAGUAGAGUCUAAAGCCAAACUGACGCCUCUCGACCAUAAAGGCGAUCCUGUUAAAGCAGAGAUGUGUGGCGCCGUCUUUGCUGCCAGUCUGAAGACCUACUUCCAGAGACACUGCAGAAUCCAGGUCAAAAAAUGGUACCACCUUGUCGACAGCCAGACCGUCUUGGGUGCAAUCCAUCGUGAGAGCUACGGUUUCCAGACCUUCUUCGCAAACCGUGUUGGUGAGAUUCAGAGUAGCACUGAUGUCCAAGAUUGGUGGUGGAUUCCCGGGUCAGCAAACAUUGCAGACGUUCUCACCAGAGGGGCCAGUCCAAAUGCCCUAACCGAGGACUCCGAGUGGCAGUCGGGUCCAAAGUUUCUCCAACUUCCUGAAGAUGAGUGGCUGAAGAAAUCUGCCAGAGAAGUCGCUGCCCAAGCUCGAGAAAAGGUCACAACGCUACAGAAAAAGGCUUUUGUUGCGGUCCUUACCAGAAUCCACACCAAUGCAGCUCAGGACUCCGUACACGUAGAGUCGAGAAGACCACUGGCAGGAGUAGCAACCCAACAGCUAAUCAACAAAAGGCGAUUCAGCAACCUGAGAAGGCUGAUUGGGACCGUGGCGUGGGUCUGGAGGGUUGCCAAAAAGUUCAUGAGAUCCAAGACCAGAGACCAAGAAAAGUGGGAGGUAGUACCAUCUUCGGGUGUCCUCACAGUCAACGAGAGACGAGAUGCUUUUCGAGACCUUUGCCUAGCAGCACAAGAGGGCGUCAACUUCCCAAGCACCACAACAGACAGACUAGUCGUUUACAGAGACCAAACAAGUGGACUUCUAGUCUGUGGUGGCAGAAUCCAGACCUUCAAAGAAGACCGCAAAGCCGUUCCCCUUCUACCAUUCCAAGCCUGGUUAUCCACCCUCCUUGCCAGAGAAGCACACAGCGAGGGACAUGACGGAGUGGCAGGAACCUUACUGCGGAUGAGAAAGAAGGCUUGGGUUGUCAGAGGAAGAAUUAUUGCCCAAAAGGUCGUGGACCAGUGCAUCAUCUGCAAGAAGGCAAAGGCAAGAACCUGUAAGCAAGUAAUGGGAGACUUACCUGAAGAGAGGUCAAAUCCUGCUGCACCAUUCGAAUUCACAUCUGUCGACCUGUUUGGACCCUAUCAUGUGAGGGAUGAUGUCAAGAAAAGAGUGACCAUGAAAGUUUGGGGAGUUGUGUUUUGCUGUAUGGCAAGCCGAGCCAUUCAUGUCGAACUAGCAAGCACACUAUCAACAGAGAGCUUCCUGCUUGCCUACCAGAGGUUCACUUCUGUCCGAGGCCAUCCCCGGAAAAUCUGGUCAGAUCCUGGCACAAACUUUGUCGGCGCCAAACCUGUAUUAGAAGAAAUGUAUGCUUACCUGAGACAACAAAACAAGGAGUCGCUUGAAGAAUACUCUGCCAAAAAUGAGACCACCUGGGCAUGGAAGAUUCUUCCCGCUGACUCACCUCACCGAAACGGGGCCGCCGAAGCCGCUGUCAGUUACAAAGAGAGCUCUUCAUACGCUUGGCAAUGUAGAGGCUCUUGCCUUCAGUGA
ensembl:lncRNA